rnacentral:misc_RNA from 1 species
UCUCCGUAGGUGAACCUGCGGAGGGAUCAUUACAAGUGACCCCGGUCUUACCACCGGGAUGUUCAUAACCCUUUGUUGUCCGACUCUGUUGCCUCCGGGGCGACCCUGCCUUCGGGCGGGGGCUCCGGGUGGACACUUCAAACUCUUGCGUAACUUUGCAGUCUGAGUAAACUUAAUUAAUAAAUUGAAACUUUUAACAACGGAUCUCUUGGUUCUG